UACGUAGGGUCCGAGCGUUGUCCGGAAUUACUGGGCGUAAAGAGCUCGUAGGUGGUUUGUCGCGUUGUUCGUGAAAACUCACAGCUCAACUGUGGGCGUGCGGGCGAUACGGGCAGACUGGAGUACUGCAGGGGAGACUGGAAUUCCUGGUGUAGCGGUGGAAUGCGCAGAUAUCAGGAGGAACACCCGGUGGCGAAGGCGGGGUCUCUGGGGCAGUAACUGACGCUGGAGGAGCGAAAGCGUGGGGAGCGAACAGG
rnacentral:rRNA from 1 species